rnacentral:rRNA from 1 species
CGCACGGGUGCGUAACGCGUAUGCAACCUACCAUCAACAGGGGGAUAACACUGAGAAAUUGGUACUAAUACCCCAUAAUAUCUCAUGCGGCAUCGCAUGGGGUUGAAAACUCCGGUGGUUGAUGAUGGGCAUGCGUUGUAUUAGCUGGUUGGUGAGGUAACGGCUCACCAAGGCGACGAUACAUAGGGGGACUGAGAGGUUAACCCCCCACAUUGGUACUGAGACACGGACCAAACUCCUACGGAAGGCAGCAG